rnacentral:rRNA from 1 species
UACACACCGCCCGUCACACCGUGGAAGCCGGCUGUACCGGAAGUCGGUGCACUAACCCGCAAGGGAGGUAGCCGCCUAUGGUAUGACUGGUGACUGGGGUG